rnacentral:rRNA from 1 species
GACGAACGCUGGCGGCGUGCUUAACACAUGCAAGUCGAACGGAAAGGCCCUGCUUUUGUGGGGUGCUCGAGUGGCGAACGGGUGAGUAACACGUGAGUAACCUGCCCUUGACUUUGGGAUAACUUCAGGAAACUGGGGCUAAUACCGGAUAGGAGCUCCUGCUGCAUGGUGGGGGUUGGAAAGUUUCGGCGGUUGGGGAUGGACUCGCGGCUUAUCAGCUUGUUGGUGGGGUAGUGGCUUACCAAGGCUUUGACGGGUAGCCGGCCUGAGAGGGUGACCGGCCACAUUGGGACUGAGAUACGGCCCAGACUCGUACGGGAGGCAGCAGUGCGGAAUAUUGCACAAUGGGCGGAAGCCUGAUGCAGCAACGCCGCGUGCGGGAUGACGGCCUUCGGGUUGUAAUCCGCUGUCGCCUGUGACGAAGCGUGAGUGACGGUAAUGGGUAAAGAAGCACCGGCUAACUACGUG